GGUCAAGCUAAUUAGGGCUAAUAGUGGAUACCUAGGCACACAGAG
rnacentral:rRNA from 1 species